CGGGCGAGUUGUCAUUCUCAUCGAGCAGGACGAUCGUGAUGCGGGUCCUGAGGGCGAGCCCGUCGGCGCUCUCUGCCACCACCGUCACCUCAUACUCGGGCAUGAGCUCGUAGUCCAGCUGGCGGGAGGUCUCCAGCAGUUCUGAUGCGGGAUUGUCAACCUGAAACAUUAACACUAUUUCUCUUCCCACAAACGCAACUUGACCUGAUCACAUUAAAGUCUGUGAACUAUCGACCUGCUUCAGUGUCUCUCACUCCGCACUUGGGCCAUGACCGCACUUGGUGACACUUGGGGUGUACAUCAUCUUGUUCAGGUCUUCUGAAGACCCUGACCUGGAGUUACAUGCUGACUUCAGUUCCUUGUGGAAAUGGGACCCGCUCUCAGGGCCUCACGAAUGGCCGCUUUUCGAUAUGCCAAGGACGCGGCCUGGAAGACCAGCACACCUUCAGGGUGCCGGAUCUUCGUAGCUCUGGAGAAUUCACCGGCUGACUGUUUCCGACAUUCUCCAGGUGUGGCCCGGUGGACGACAGAUUCCAGGCCGGUGUAGCCGACUGAGGCGCGGAAGAGAAGCAACAUCAGGACUUUGCUGUGGCAGGUGUGUGGACAGAGGCCUCUGUGGUCGAGCGAUCACACACCCUCUCUCUCUGGGUGGUGGGGAGAGUUUGCUGUCGAUUCCCAAGUCUGAGAAUCUUGGAAUAAAAACUGACGCAUCAGAGUCUCCCCUUUUGCUGUGAAAUGGGUGAUAUCUCUCUGUCCCUUGUUAGUGAGAGGGAGAGACUAUGGCCUGGCGAACUGUUGGGCAAACAAUAGUUUUUAUUGAUCUUGGUCUUUUUUUGGAUGCUUUGUUGCUGCUUGGUGGGUGGUGGCUGCUGAAAUGUGCUGGGGGGAAAGGGGAGAUUGAUGCUUGCAUGGGAAAUGAGGGGAGAAGGGGCUUUGGGGUUCUAAUGCUAUUCUGUCAUUCAUUCG